rnacentral:lncRNA from 1 species
UUCUUUCUCAGUUAAAAUGUGCUGCCUGUGGUUCGCUUUUUAAAGUAGUUACAGAUCCCAUUUCUCUAUAUAACCCUGUGAGCAUGUGGUCAUAAUUGUCAAGUUUAAACGGGCUUAGUGAGUAUAGAAUAAGGGAGAAGAGUUUUUAUCUUUCUAACUUGGUCUCUUCAUCUGUCUCUGCUGAUAUCAAAAUGCAGCCAAGAAGCAGAAGAUGUUAAAGAUACUGAGUGGUAGACUCAUAAA